rnacentral:ncRNA from 1 species
UUCAACGUAAUGAAGAGAACAUAGUAGCUUACAUAUCUGUAGCAUUUAGAGAACUGAUGAUUUGGUGAAAGUCAGUACAGAGUGAUGGCGAAUUACAUUCUCGGAGCUUUUCUUAUGAGUAAUAAGAGACGGUAGCGCCGUUAUCGCUUUAAGUGGAGGUUUAUUCUUAAAAUAAGCUUCAAUUAGGGUGGUACCGCGAAGAACCUCGUCCCUUUU